UACGAAGGGGGCUAGCGUUGCUCGGAAUUACUGGGCGUAAAGGGCGCGUAGGGCGGCACUGUUAGUCAGGCGUGAAAAGUCCUGGGGCUCAACCUGGGAACUGCGCUUGAUACGGCAGAGCUAGAGGAUGGAAGAGGGUCGCGGAAUUCCCAGUGUAGAGGUGAAAUUCGUAGAUAUUGGGAAGAACACCGGUGGCGAAGGCGGCGACCUGGUCCAUUACUGACGCUGAGGCGCGACAGCGUGGGGAGCAAACAGG
rnacentral:rRNA from 1 species